rnacentral:rRNA from 1 species
GACGAACGCUGGCGGCGUGCUUAACACAUGCAAGUCGAACGAAGUGGCGAACGGGUGAGUAACGCGUAAUCAACCUGCCCUUCAGAGGGGGACAACAGUUGGAAACGACUGCUAAUACCGCAUACUGAAGGAGGGGAUUGCGUCUGAUUAGCUAGUUGGAGGGGUAACGGCCACCCAAGGCGAUGAUCAGUAGCCGGACUGAGAGGAUGAACGGCCACAUCGGGACUGGGAAAAGGCCCAGAAGCCUACGGGAGGCAGCAAGGGGGAAUCUUCCGCAAAGGACGAAAGUCUGACGGAGCAACGCCGGGUGAGGGAUGACGGCCUUCGGGUUGUAAAGCUCUGUUGUUAAGGAAGCGGUACUUAACCAGAAAGGGACGGCUAACUACGUGCCAGCAGCCGCGGUAAUAC